rnacentral:rRNA from 1 species
GUAACAAGGUUUCCGUAGGUGAACCUGCGGAAGGAUCAUUACCGAGUGAGGGCCCUCUGGGUCCAACCUCCCACCCAUGUUUAUUGUACCUUGUUGCUUCGGCGGGCCCGCCUCACGGCCGCCGGGGGGCUUCUGCCCUCUGGCCCGCGCCCGCCGAAGACACCAUUGAACACUGUCUGAAGAUUGCAGUCUGAGCAAUUAGCUAAAUAAGUUAAAACUUUCAACAACGGAUCUCUUGGUUCCGGCAUCGAUGAAGAACGCAGCGAAAUGCGAUACGUAAUGUGAAUUGCAGAAUUCAGUGAAUCAUCGAGUCUUUGAACGCACAUUGCGCCCCUUGGUAUUCCGGGGGGCAUGCCUGUCCGAGCGUCAUUGCUGCCCUCAAGCACGGCUUGUGUGUUGGGCCCCGUCCUCCUUCCCGGGGGACGGGCCCGAAAGGCAGCGGCGGCACCGCGUCCGGUCCUCGAGCGUAUGGGGCUUUGUCACCCGCUCUUGUAGGCCCGGCCGGCGCUUGCCGACAACCAUCAAUCUUUUUUCAGGUUGACCUCGGAUCAGGUAGGGAUACCCGCUGAACUUAAGCAUAUCA